rnacentral:rRNA from 1 species
CCUACGGGAGGCAGCAGUGGGGAAUAUUGGGCAAUGGAGGAAACUCUGACCCAGCGACGCCGCGUGCGGGAUGAAGGCCUUCGGGUUGUAAACCGCUUUCAGUAGGGAAGAAGCGAAAGUGACGGUACCUACAGAAGAAGCACCGGCUGACUAUGUGCCAGCAGCCGCGGUAAUACAUAGGGUGCAAGCGUUGUCCGGAAUUAUUGGGCGUAAAGAGCUCGUAGGUGGUUCGUCACGUCGGAUGUGAAAAUCUGGGGCUCAACCCCAGACCUGCAUUCGAUACGGGCGAUCUAGAGUGUGGUAGGGGAGACUGGAAUUCCUGGUGUAGCGGUGGAAUGCGCAGAUAUCAGGAGGAACACCAAUGGCGAAGGCAGGUCUCUGGGCCAUUACUGACACUGAGGAGCGAAAGCGUGGGGAGCGAACAGGAUUAGAUACCCUGGUAGUCCACGCCGUAAACGGUGGGCACUAGUUGUGGGAACCUUCCACGGUUUCUGCGACGCAGCUACGACAUAAGUAGCCCGCCCGUCGGGAGGUACGAGUCGCGAAGAAUUAAAACUAACAAAUAGAAGUUAGUACGGCGUGAGACGUGCCGACGGACGACCGACGAGGGGAGGUUAGG